GACGAACGCUGGCGGCGCGCCUAACACAUGCAAGUCGAACGAGCGAGAGAGAGCUUGCUUUCUCAAGCGAGUGGCGAACGGGUGAGUAACGCGUGAGGAACCUGCCUCAAAGAGGGGGACAACAGUUGGAAACGACUGCUAAUACCGCAUAAGCCCACAGGUCGGCAUCGACCAGAGGGAAAAGGAGCAAUCCGCUUUGAGAUGGCCUCGCGUCCGAUUAGCUAGUUGGUGAGGUAACGGCCCACCAAGGCAACGAACGGUAGCCGGACUGAGAGGUUGAACGGCCACAUUGGGACUGAGACACGGCCCAGACUCCUACGGGAGGCAGCAGUGGGGAAUAUUGCACAAUGGGGGAAACCCUGAUGCAGCGACGCCGCGUGGAGGAAGAAGGUCUUCGGAUUGUAAACUCCUGUUGUUGAGGAAGAUAAUGACGGUACUCAACAAGGAAGUGACGGCUAACUACGUG
rnacentral:rRNA from 1 species